GGCUUAUUGUUCUGGGCUGUUUCCAUUGGAAAAAUGGAGACCUGAGAUGAUUUGUUUUUGUUCCUUCUCUCAAAAUGCUCCUGUCUGUGGCUUUGGGAGUCUGAGUCAGGCUCUCAAAGACUGUUAAGGUUUCUGGAGAGUCUGUGGAUGCCAAAUGGAGUAAUUUAACUCAGAAGAUGGUUUACAGAUGAAGAAACUGAAGUGUAGAGAGGUGAAGAGGAGCUAUUCAAGGUUCCAACACAGUAAAUCAAAGGCUACAAUAACCUGGGCCAUUCACUAUGGUCACAAGCAGAUGAUACAGCUUUCUGCUGCUGAAGCAACCAGCAAUCUGUGGGCUCAUCUCAUCCUGCAAAACUCUCAUUUCCUGCACUGGGCUUUCUUGAUGUAGAGGAUUGGAGACUCUGUACAUUUACAUGUACAUCUUAGUGCCCAAUCCAGAAGCAUGAGGGAGUUAAUGUCCUAAGGGAGGCUGGUCAAUGCAUAUAUUUCUCAUGUUUCCUCGUUUCUUGGAGAAGAUGAAGUUCUUCCUUUCCAGAGCUGUACGUACCUCUUCUAGAUUGGAGUUUGUCUUCAUUACCCCCUUGGUAUUUGCUAGCACCAUCUUCAGAAGGCACUCAGAAUGCCUGAUCUAAUGACAUUGCCUUAGAUCAAGAAACCCACUGGAUGGCAAAGAAGGACAUACUAGCUAUUAAGUAUGGCAUUAUCCAGAAUUGACUGAAUAACAUGGUGAUGGAUUGCCUGUUAAAGACUUGGCUAGAGUACAAGGUC
rnacentral:lncRNA from 1 species